rnacentral:lncRNA from 1 species
GCGAAGCGGCCGCCGGGUGCGGCUGCGGCCUGCUGCUGUUGGGAGGCUGCCGACGGCACAAGCAGCAGCUGCUGUUGCAGCUGCGACAGGGGUGACAGCGGCGGCUGCAGUUGGUGUUGCUGGUGCUGUUGGUGCUGCUGGGUGUGGCCCUGCUGCGGCGACAGGAGGUUUAGCGGCGAGCCAUAGGGGGCCGCAGCAGCCGCAGAAUCUGCAGGCCAGAAGUGCGGCGCGGAUUGCGGUGACGACAGAAGGCCUGUAAAGCCGCUGAAACCGCUGAACCCGCUGAAACCGCUGAAACCGCCGCCAGGCCCGCCACCGCCAGGCCCGCCGCCGCUGCCACCGGCGGCGGAGCUCGGCGGACCCUCGCUGCAGCUCGCUCCACCGGUGGCGCUGCCAGCCCGGCUGCCCGAAUGCAUGGCUGCUGCGGGUCCGGAGCCCACGCUGAUGCAGCGAAGGCGGUGGAACGGGUCUUCCGGCGUGCCGAUGCGGCUGUCAGCUAGCAGCAGCAGGGUGCUACUGCUGGUUAGCGGUCCGCCGCCGCCCGCCGCCGUUGCUGCUACUGCCAGGUCAUUCGUCGAGACCGCAACACACGAGCCCACGCCCGUGCCUGAGCCCAGGCCGGGGUCCAGCCCCAGGCCCGAGCCCAGCAGGCCGCGGCUGUCUGCCACCGCCGGCUGUAGCCUCGGCGGCGGCGGCUGCAGCAGCUGUAGCUGUGAGUGCACGUCGUAGCUGUAGCUGUAGCUGUAGCUGCCGUAGCCACCGAUGGGAGCGCUGGGGAAGCGCAGGAGUUGCGGCCGCUGCGGAUGCUGUUGCUGCUGCUGCUGCUGUGGCAUAAAGCGCUGGGGCGCCGCCGCCGCCUGCCCAGCUGCCGCCGCCAAGCCGCCGCUACUGCCGAUACUGCCGCUGGCGUUGCCUCGCGCCAGCAGGGCACUUCCCAUGCCGUUGCCGCCGCCGGCGGCAACCGCCGUCGCCGGUGCAGCCGCCGCCGCCGCCGCCGCCGCCCCGGCGGCGCACGCGGCAUCUCCCGCCCAAGCCGGCCACGAGGCCGCCAGCAGCCCAGCAGACCUCUCCACGCCGCCAUUAUUGCUACUGCCUCCGCCUCCGCCGCCGCCGGAUCCACCGGCGCCGCUGCUACUGCCGACAAGGCCGCCGGCCGCGGGGUGUAGCAGCGGAGGGGAAGCCAAGCAUUGAUACCUUCCGCCACCUCUUGCGCCACCCACGUCACCUCCAGCGCCGCCGCCCUCGGCGGGUACAAACCCCAAAGACGCUGUUGCUUCAAACGGCGGAUGUGGGCCAAACGCUCUGCUACUGCCGCCGGAAUGCUGCAGCGGAUUCAGGAACCGGGCGCCACCCGCCACGCCCGCUGUGCCCGCCGCCGCGCCGCCGCCUCCGCCGCUGCUGGCAUAGAACCGGUUGCCGCCGCCGCCACCGCCGCCCAUAACGCCGCCGGGCGCUGUAGGCACUGCCGCUGCCGUGAGCUGCUCCCAAGUGCCGCUGCCACUGCCGCCGCCGCCAGUACCGACACCGAAGCUGCCGUUGGCGCCGCCGCCGACGCCAGUACCGACACCGAAGCUGCAGCUGGCGCCGCCGCCGACGCCAGUACCGACACCGAAGCUGCAGCUGGCGCCGCCGCCGACGCCAGUACCGACACCGAAGCUGCAGCUGGCGCCGCCGCCGCCAGUACCGACACCGAAGCUGCCGUUGGCGCCGCCGCCGACGCCAGUACCGACACCGAAGCUGCAGCUGGCGCCGCCGCCGACGCCAGUACCGACACCGAAGCUGCAGCUGGCGCCGCCGCCGACGCCAGUACCGACACCGAAGCUGCAGCUGGCGCCGACGCCGGCGCCGGCGCCGUCCGCGGUCACCGCCCUGCCUGGGAGCGCCCAGCCGGCGGCUGCCCAGGCAGCAUCGCCGCCACCACCGCCGCCAUUGCCGCCACCGCCGCCGCCACCGCCGCCACCGCCGCCGCCGCCAGUGACUCCAGCUACUCCAGCUUCGGCCUCGGCCGAAAGCAACAUGAACGCACGCGGAUCCCACGAUCCGCUGACGCCGCCGCCACCGCCGCCACCGCCGCCAUCGUUAGCCAUCACAUGUGGUGUCGGCGCCGCCGUCGGGGACAGCAGCGCGGGAGUACUUGUCGGGGCGCCGAAAGCGCCGCUGCUGCUGCUACUGCCCGGUGUGCUGCCGCCGCCGCCGCCCGUGGCGGCUGUAGCAGCUGCCGCCAGCCCCAUAUGGCCGCCGCCGCCGCCGCCGCCGCCACCGCUCCAGUACUGCUGCUGCCGCUGCUGGUGCUGCUGAGUCUGCGGCCGCUGGGGUUGGGACUCAACGUGCAGCGGUUGAUCAUCAGGCAUCAUCGACAACGACAUUGGAGACACUGGCGUGGUGGCUUGGUUGAAGCCGCCCAGCAAUCCACGAGGCUGCUCCCGUAGCUGCCGGCGCCACUCUUCGCCGCGGCCGCCGCCACCGCCGCCGCUGCCGCCGCCGCCGCCGCCGCCGCUGCCGCCGCAGCCGCCGCCGCCAGCAGUUCCCGCCACAGCAGCUGCGGCCACGGAGGACUCGUCGUCUGCAGCGCUUGGAAUGCCGGCGGCGGCGCCGGCGGCGCCAGUGGCGGCGGCGGCGCCUGCGGUGGUCGUGGCCACAGCCGACAGCGGCUGCUGGGUAGUUGCCCCUAGCGGCUCUAUGCGUGGCUCGAGGCAGCGCUUGCCUGUGAUGAGAACACGGGAGCAGCCAUAAAUCAGCAAUCCAAAGCAAGCAAACUCACCUGCUGAUGCAUGCGCCUAAUGCGCCAAACAAUCAAGCAAGGCGUAGUAAUAAGUAAACGUUUACCGAGCAAUCAAGUGGCUGCAACAGAGAUCGCUCGUGUCGUACAAACAUGUUACUCGUGAGCAUGUUGAUAAUUGAUCACAUGCUCGCUAUAAUAGGUGCUCCUUGCAGGCCCGCACCUGGCGAGACGCCUGGAAUAAUAAUAUGCUGCGACUGUUGUUGCGGCAUGGACCCAGCAGCCGCGCCGCCGGCACGCGGCGGUGGCAGCGGCGCUAGUAGUGAUGGCUGCUGUAGCUGCCACUGCAGCCUCCCCUCCGCUGCUGCACGCCGCACCCCAGCAUUUAUGCCCGGGCCCUCCCCCUCCUGCUCCUCGCCCAAGCCCACGGGCGGCGGCGGCGGUGGCGGAGGCGAGGCGGAGCCCAGCCGCUGCAGCUGGCCGCUUGGGCGUCGCAAUCCGCUGUGCCCGUGCACAACGGCGACGGCCCGAGAACUGUCGUCGCCGCUAGCGACGGCGCCGGCGGCGGCGCUGGCAGCCCCAGCGGCGAUGCCGGCGGCGGCCGUGGCCACGCCACUGCUACUGCCGCCGCCAUGCCCGCUCAUGAUUCCGCUCAGCAUGGAACCUGAGGCUCCGUCGCCGCUGCUGUUGCCGCCGGCGGCCGCCGCCAGCGCCGCCGUUGGCAACAUCAUUGCGGCGCCGCCGCCGCCGGCGGCACCACCGUCACUGCCUUUAGAACGGCCGCUGCCUCCAGACGCAACCGCGGGCCCGCCGGCGGCGGCACCACUCUCAAACGCGUCGGCGCCCGCUGCUCCUCCCGCUACUCCCGCACCCGCUCCGCCUCCUCCUGCUCCUCCGCCUCCUCCCCCGUCAGCCCCUCCGGCCUCGUCUCCUUCCAGCAUCGGCCCAGGCACGUAGCCGACGCGCUCCUGCGCCGCCGCCAGCGCAGCGGUCCGGGCCGCGGCGUCGCCGGAGCAGUCCUUUACCGCGGCCGCAUAGGCAUUCAGGAGGGCCCGACCCAGAUUGGAUGUGUCAUCUGAGGUGAUGCAGCGCUGCUGGGAGUAGAAGAUAUUCUGUUUGGGGUUUGGCGGUUGGCAUGGCAGUUGGCGGUUGGCGGCGGUUGGUUGGGGUUGUACAUUGCAAGUGUUUGGGGACAGUUAGGCGUGUGGUAAAGAAGGUGCAGUGCUGCUGGGACUAUACCGUAAGAUAGAUGUAAUUAUUGUUGGGAGUGGGUAUGUAGGUGGGAUGAUGGUUGGGAUCGAUGGUGGUUGGGGAUGCGCUUGGUGGCUCGUAGCUGUAUGGCACCCAUGUAACCCAUGUUGCAUGCAUGAUGGGGAUAGAUGGUUGGAGGUGCAGGGCACGGGUGCAGGGCUGAAUGGAUGAAUGAAGGGACCGCUGCAUGCGGCGGACGCAGAUAGACGCAGCCGCCGGGAAUGCAGCACUGCGGCGGGAUACUUGCGGCCUUAUCCCGAUCAUUAAUAAGGCCUACGGCCUAAAUCGUAAUAGAUAAAACAGGUGUAAGGGGACUAACAGCAAACGUUGCCCAUGCACACGGGGGCUGGCGGCUGCACAGGGCAAAGCUUAACUAAUCAUAAGGUAGGGGAGCUCGAGGGCAGUGCGUGAGGGGAUGGACGGAGCGAGGCAGCAAACUUUCAAGUGCGUGGCAUCCCCAGCUAGCAGGCAGUCAAGCCCGAGGAUUGAUGGCAAUGGCCGGCGGGAAACCGCCGGCCAGCAGCACAGACCUCCAAGCAAGUAACCCGCAACCAAGCACGCACGCAGCAUGCAGCAGUAGUGUAUGGUGAAUUUGCCCAGCAAGCAGGCAGUAUUGCUGCUGCUUCUGGUCGCUCGGUGGCCUCAUAACCCCAUGUAUCCGCGUCACCCUGCUGGCAGCAUCCCCGCCGCCAUCGUGCGUGAAAUAACCCUACCUGCUUUGCAUGCAACCGUACGUGCAAACCCAGCCGCUGCAGACAUCCCACUGUGCUAGCUAUGCUAGCUACCUGGCGCCCUGCUGACACUGCUGGUGCACAUAUAUACGUAGCUAGAUAGAUAGCUCAUGACUGACUUAACUUGUCAACGUAUCUUACUCAAGUCGUCCUUGCUGUGUGCAACUUCAGCCGCAGCCUUACUAUUUCAACCCACUCCAAUCCAAACCCUCUAUCUUCCCUUACCUUGGCGUCCCUUUCACUGCGUUUGCGGAAGUGCUUGGCGAGAUCCUUCCACCUGCAUGCAUGUAAUGCAUGGUGGAUAAUAUUAAUGAUGUAUGAGACAGGUCAAUCGCGGACGUGUUGCUGUGUGUUUAGUGUGUUAGUUGUGCUGCUGCGUGUUGCAUGUUGCGGUCGGUGCAAUAUUGGAGGGUGUUGGGAAUGAGUAUAUGUCAUAUUUGCUAAGGUGCGUGGUGGUGAUGGCAGCUUGCGUCGUCAAGCAGCAGUCUAUCUGGGUGCGGGCGGGGUAGAUAGUGCAUUCCAAUAAUCCCAUAGGUAGGGGCGUGUAGGGCGUGGGGAGUAGUUCUUUCCAGCUCCAGCUACAGAAGGGCCGGCGGCGUCGAUCGUCCCUACAAUCAAGGACGGUUUGAGGUACGGUUGUUCAGCCUCUCGCCCCUUUCAUCCAUACCUAUCCCAACGUGCCGACAAGGCGUUUGCCUGGAGUUGAAGCCAGACCCGCCCCGGCCCCCACGGUCCCCUUCACCGCCCGCCGCCCCCGCCCAAUGCUGCACCCGCCCCAGUAGCUAGACAGUCAUGAGAUAGGUCCCGCACACGCUCCAUGCCGCUGUUGCAUGCCUCCAUGCAACGUACGUACGUUCGCGCGCCCGAACCGUUUCCUCAGGUUAGCUAUAGGGCCCCACAAGCAAGCUACCCAGGUGGCCUUGCUUGGAGGCCUGGCCUGCCAUUGCUGCGAAUGAACAGAUAGAUUAGGUAGCUGCACGCGCAGCCGGCGCGCCUGCUGCUGUACUUGAGCUUGCCCGCCUUGUGAGGUUUGCGCGUCAGCAGCGCAAUUCUAGUCAUCUAUCGCACUACGUACUCCGGACUAAUACUUGGGUCUAUGCUUCUCACCCCCGCUGCUCUUGCUUGUACUAGGAAGUUUACGGCGGCGCGCCUUGCUGCUGAAUGUGCUUGCGGCAAUUACAGCAGCCGUGAAGGUACGGCAGCAACAAUGACACGCUCGACCAAAACCGUACGGCAGUACGUACACCCAUGCCAGCAGCUUUCAGCAAGCAAUGCCGUAAACCCUUCAGCCGUGACUGCUGGCCCCCAGCAAACAAGCGCACAUGCGCACGUAUGUAUAUAUGCACUGCGCUUACUUGCUUCCUCGCCUGGCAUGCAGCUGUGACCAGCGCCCAGCAAGCACGCAUACAUGCGAGCGCACGUACAUGUAAACGUACGUACAUACAAAAGCACUCACUUGCUUCCCAGCCUGGCAUGCAGCACCGCCAGCUGGGCCAACUCCUCGCUGCUCCAACGCGUCGUCCAGCGCGGCGCGCGGGCCUGCGGGCGGAGAAGUGUGAAGGUGGUGGAUGGGUAGUGGGGGCGGGUGUGUGUGGGCAUUCAGCGAUGCUGCGGCUCUCUGGGGGUUGCAAAGAUGUACAGGAGAAGCUGUACAGGAUGCAUGCACUGAAGACGGGGGGAGCGCGUGGAACCCGGGUGGUGGGGGGAGCAAGCGGGGGAGCACAGGAAGGCGUGUAUGUAGCGCGACGUUGCGUGCCGGGUGUGGACGAGUGUGGAGGAGUGGAGGAGCGAGUGGAGCUUACUUUAGGAGCCUCUCCCCCGCAAGGACAGCAGGGGAACCCGGGAUCCUACGGGCAGACCCUUUGUUACGAGGACCAUACAGCGACCGAGGCAUGCAGGACUGAGCGAGGUACGUAGGCGCGCGUUAUUAGGUAACCUCCCACCCUGCUACGGCGGCUCGCUCGCUGCUGCUGUAUUGCCCGUUCAUUGAAGUUGAACGACGAACCCUGGGCCAAACUGUGAUGUUUAUGAAAGCUCACUUACCUUGUCCAGCGCGCUCUUGCCUCCCGCCGGCGUCGCGGCGUAAUCGUCAAUUCGACCCGCAUCCCCGCUGGCUGCUUUUGAGGCGCCUCCUUGAUCACCGGGCCUGUGGUGCGAGAGCUCUUCUUCCUCUUCCAUAUGCAGCUGAGCUUUAGACUACGAGCGACAUUGGCAAGCUAUCGCGAGUCGAGCCAGCCUAUCCCGCCGUGCCGAGCCCUAAGUAUUUGCCACAGAAACCUUAUUCAAAAUUAUUUGCUUCGGGUCGCAAAACAGCGCAGGGGCGCCCCGUUUGUAUGUGUGCAGGAAGACUGAGCGAGGUAGGGACCGCCGCGUGUUUAUGACUGUGCGUGUAUACGGUGAGCCGAUGAAGGUAUAAUUCUUGAGGUUAGCAUUCCGGGCCUGCUGCGUGGGACCCUAGAUGCUCUCACGUCCUGCAAAUGGCUAGCUGGCACGCGUUAGGUCAACUGGGCCGUGCUCAAUUCUGGCCCCUUCGCCCAGCCGCUGCAAUGAUCUGGCGAAAUGACAUCUAAGAUACCUUCAGGUAAAUCGCGGGCGGAGUUUCCUGACCCGUGGGGUUGCGGUUAUUAAAGGCGCGCGCGGCCACUUGACAGCAACCGGCACUACCAGCACGCGGACAACCCCCCACCCCACCCCGGCCCCGUGGAGCUGUUCCCCGCUCUUACUACUCCUGCCCGCAGCGCCUCUUGAUGAUCACUAGCAGAGGCACGGCUAGCCAUGGUUCACAAUCACCAGCAACAGAACAUCCCGACAAGGUGUGCCACAUACGGUGAACACCCAUGAAGAAAGGGGAGAUAACCUGGUGUUCCCUGGCGGUGCGGUCAUGACUCAUGAGGGAUGACGCUGGCUGUUGGCGGGCUGCUGGAAGGGGAAAGAGAAAGGUAAGCUUCUGACGCCCUCUCUGAUGAUGGGCAAGCGGGGCGCAGGCCAGGGAGGUGGGAACGAAGGGGAACGAUAAAUGGAAGUGACAAUGCGACAUCCGCGGAUGGUGUACUUACGUGUACGUACCAGCUACACUGGCACCAUCUCAAACCCCUGAGCCUUCCUACGUGUUCGGCACAACCGGGCCAUUAUAUCCAUGUUGAACAACCUUUUGGAAUCUUGGAGGGGGGUUAUGGGCUCUUCCCGCUCUCCUCAGAACCUGCUCCCUGGGUGUACAGUCGGUAUGCAGACGCUGAGACGCAUCAGCAAUCCCGUGCCAGUUCAGUGAUGGCACAUACGGUAUCGACCAAAUUGCUCACCAACCACACACAACCGACUAGGGGUGUCAGCUUUGUACAGCUGGAAAAUGGGCUGAGCCCCAUGUAGCGCAAGGGAUGUGACGAUGGGCACCGGCGACAUGAACAGCACCCUUGCAAGCCCAUCCAGCGGGACUGGCCACUAUGCCAACGCCGUGCCGAGGCACCGACAUGCCCUGUCCCCGCCACGCCACGCCACCUUACCCACGCCACUUCACGGUCCAUGAUAUCCCAAAUGCACCUCACCCACAUCCCACUCAAGCACCGCAAACGGCUAGCCGGGCUCGGGCGCGGGCUCCCGGGCCGCGACACAUUUAAGGCUCGGGGACGCAUGGUUUGGCUGUUGCAAACAAUUUCGACAUUCUUGCCCCAAGACGCUUGUCGUCGACAUGUUUUGAUACAUGGAUGUAAGAUAUUUAGGGGCCGAGAGCUAUACUCGCGGACUGAAGAAAGUCAAGAUGUCCAGACUCACGAGGUCGCUUCUCGCUCCGGCCGAGUUUUCCCUGCCGCCUAUUUUUCUACAAUAGGGAAUAGCAAUUAAUAAUACGUGGCACUCGCGGUUUGCGCCAGUUUGGCACUUUUUGUCGACGCAGGGGGCUCAGCCCAAAAAUUGCCUUGUUUCAAAAUCGCCCUGUCAAGUAACAUUGCGCCCCGCAACCCUCGGACUUCUACUAACCUCCCCACCGCUUGACAUCAUGAACCUCCCAACACACGCGUGCCCGAGAUUUCCAUGACUCAUGGUGGUGGUGCCACCGCUUUUCUGUGUGUGCUCCUGCUGUGCACUAGGUGCUGCUCACCACGCUUACUUCCCUCUCACCUUGCCUGUCGCAUUUCAGUUGGCACUCCUCAUGCUCCUUGCUGUUCAUUAUGUCCGGCUACCUCCCGUUUCGUCCUUCCCUGAACAGUCACGCCCUGGCCGCAUCAUAGCUGUGCCACAGCUUGCGCACGCCGGGUCACCCGUGGGGCCAAAAUUCUCCCCGAAGUCCGGGUAAUUCACUCCCCUCGCGAGGCUGGUCACGGGACGCUUAUUAAGCGUGCGAAAUGCCAGGAUCGAACUAGCGACCUUUAGAUCUUCAGUCUAACGCUCUCCCAACUGAGCUAAUUCCGCUCAAUCGACCUGACAACCACCGCCCCCGCCUACCCCACGGACACACGCCGCGCACCCUCCAGCGACGCCGGGCCAGACCCCACCAUUGCCCCCGCAAGCGCGGGCGGCAGCGCUUGCUGCUGAGUCGGCGGCACAUGCUCAAAUCACCGCCGCAGUCCAUGCCCUUGCUGCAAGACAUGAGCCGUCAACACAGAUGAGCUUAAACGCGCAAUGUGGAAGUCAAGACCAUGACCUCAUUAUUGAGGCUAGCAAGGAAAAACAAAAGUGUGAGCAGCGACCGCAGUUACUUGUGCCUUUGACACGAUAAAGGCGCGCCAAGCAUUGCGGCCAUCGAUGGUCCAAAGCUUGGGACACGCAGCGGGUGAAGACGGCGGCUGUUGCGGCUGGGGCUGGCGUGGACAGGGGAGGGGCGUAGACCAGCCCACAACUACCGUACGCUGUGAUGCGUCCUCGACACCGCAAAACCCAAGCAAAUAAACCAGUCUGGAACACAACCAGCUUGAGCUAAUUCCGCUCAACCUGACCGCCUUCGACCCCGCCCACUGCACGGACACACGCCGCGCACCAUCCGGCGACGUCGGGCCGGACCCCUGGCCGGACCCCACCAUCGUCCCCGAAAGCGCGGGCGGCACCGCGUGCUGCGAAAAGUUUCACGACGCAAGCGACACCCGCUCAACUCGAGCCCAAAACCCCACCCCGGCCACCACACGCCCACAACGCCGCGCUCCCACGGCAGCGCCGGGCCAGGCUCGCCCGUGAAAAACGCAACGGGGCGGCGGCACUUGCUGCGAUUGCUGCUCACCGACACGGUCUCUGUGGAGUGUGUCGAUGGCACUGCCACUCAAUGCCUCCCCUGGUCAAGGCUGCCCCCUCGCCGCCCCCUCCUCUGCCUCACUCUUCAUUGCCCAUGCCCUCUUCUGCUGGUUGAAGGCGUGCGGUGGCUAAUCCAGGGCUUGCAUCUUCCAGGGGUAGGACGCCGCCGCUGACGAGAGGGGCCCUAGCCGCGUUCUCGCCCACGGCAUCCACGGGACCAAGAAUGCCUAGUUCUUUAGCGUUUGGGAACCCCUGGCCUCGCCCAUGCCACGGACACACGACGCGCACCCUUCGGCGACGCCACGCCGCCUGGUCAGGGGAGUUUCUUUCCUAAGAGAUUGGUUACAAAGGAGUAAAGGUCGGAAACUACCGCCGUCGUCUGAGCAAUUGGCAAUUCGGUCAAUUGGCAGUUCGAAUGGGGGGGCGUCACGUUUGGUGGUGCAUGGGAGACAGGAGGGAUGUUCCGUUUGGAUGGGUGGGAGAGGACGGAUGGGUGGGGUCGGCACGGUUGAAAGCCGGCAUGGAAGGGGUGGGUCGGGGGCCUGGGCCGGAGCCUGGGAGAUGGGGAUGGGGAUGGCGAUGAGGAAUGGGGAUGGCGAUGGAUGGGGAUGGCGACGAAGUUCUUCGGGGACAGAACACAAAAUUUGCAUCAUCUUUUAGUCUGUGUGCAAGCAUGCGCGGGAGACGGCCCUGGGCCGCGCCGCCGCACCAGCCGCCGCACAUUUUACGCCGCGCCGCCGCGACCCUUUAUCAUAAUAUGGUGAUGGCGAAAACGCAUGAGGCUGAUUGCAAGCAGAGGUCGUUUGCGCAAGGAUUGUGCAAGAAAUGCCGCUUGGAUUGCCAGCGUGGCCGCACGCGGUCGCAGCCUAAUCUGCCCAGUCUAGUAUUUGAGCAACGAUGUAUCGCUCCAGCCCACCAGCAGUGCAGUACCGCCAGUGCAGGCGGUCGGCGACGAGUAUAUUACUACACAGCAUCUCGCCCGGACGACGCCCCCGUCCGCACCGCGGAACUAUUCUUUAUGUUUUCGGGCUGCACGCGACCACAGCGCGAGACUGUAUUAGCGUGAAGCUGCACGCAGUCGGCAAAACGUUGACACGAAUGGCACCACCGCCGCGCGUGCACCACCGCCGCGCGUGCACCAGCGCCGCGCGUGCACCGGUCCCUAGAGGCGCCUUCAGUCCUUUGGGGCGAAAAUGGGCGGGGAGGGGGGGGGAGGGGGGGAAAUGCCAAUUGGCCGAAUUGCCAAUUGCGGGUCGGUGGGAGGGGGUAAAGGGUAUAAAGGGGAGAAGGAAGGGGAAGGCGCAUUUUCGGGUCUAGAAACUCUUUCCUAAGAGAUUGGUUACAAAGGAGAAGGCAGGAAGGGGAAGGCGCAGCACCACACCGGCACGCAACCCGCAACGCAAGCAAGCAGGACGCCAGGGACAACCGCACAAGCCACUGAAGCCAAGGGCACCCCUCGGGGCAAAGCAAGGGCAAACCGCCCCCACCCAAAAAAACAGGCGAAGCAAUCAAUAAACUCACAGAGCAGGGCAGGAAACAAGGGGUGUCAGCUUUGUACAGCUGGAAAAUGGGCUGAGCCCCCGUACGCUUGGGAGCUAAUAAGCAUGUAACGCCCCGUCAGAGCCUCCAUGCCGCUACGAUGCGCCUGCGCGUCGGCUAGGGACACUCGGGUUGGGGCCGUGCGGGAUUUCCCGCGCCACAUGCGUGCCUUGUCACGUUCCCAAACACCCCAAGCAUUUCUUUCGCCUCCUGCCAUACUCAACACCUCCCCGGCGCCCCACGCUCAAAGGGCUAGGCGCGGGGCGGGGGCGACCUCGGGGCUUCUCGGCAUUCUGGCGCGUCGGCAGGCAUGGCAGCGCAAGUCGCUCAAAGACUUUCGAUAUACUUCCCCGCUUUGCUUGCCGCCAACAUAGUUUGCCUUAUAGACUGCAUAUCGGCGGGCACCGGAUGCUUUCCUCGCGACCUCGCGAAAGUCAAUUUCCAUGGACGCGCCAAGGCACUUCUCGCUCCGCCCGAAUUUUCCCUGCCACCUAUUUACAUGCAAUAGGCAUUAACAAAUACUAAUACGUAGCAGUCGCGGUUUGUGCCAGUAUGCUAUGUUUUGCCGACGCACGAACGCAGCCACGGACAGGGGUGUUCCUGGGGGGCUUCGCCCCCCCCCCCCUGGAACGCUUCGCUGGGGGGGCUCAGCCCAAAAAAGAACAGAGGGGAGAAACACGGAAACCCAGCACCAAGCCCAAAAGCCCCCGAGCCAACCCACCAAAGGCUCACACACACGACAGAGCGCCGGCAACCCCGCGCCAACACACUGCUGCAAGCCCAGGCAUGCCUAGGAACACAGGAAGGAACAGACGCAGGGGACAGAGCAGGAAGACAAAAGAAAGCACCAAGCCCAAACCACCUCGAGAAAGGGAAACCUCCACAGGCACACACGCUUACCAGCGCGCUGUUCCCCCGCACCAAAACACUGCAAGCCGGACCCCGGGUCCCAAGCAGGGCAGGGAACACAGGCAGCAGCUACCCGACCGCCACGCACGCACGCACGCUGAUCCAAGCGGCCGCGCGGUCUGACCCAGCAGCAACGAAGCAGCCCAGCGACGACAUGGGAACCACAGCAGCCGAACGACCACGUGCAGGCACACACGCACCCAACCGCAGCCAACCGGGGCACGGGCUCCACGCAAACCGGGGCACACAUGGCCUGUACAGGCAGCAACAGGCAGCAGCGAACCGCCCUCCACAACAAAGUAAACAAAGCAGACCAGCUACAGCACGGGAACAACCGCCGGCGCACAACCAAACGCAGGCACACAUACACGCACGAACACGCCACCAAACCAGGUCAGCUAACUAGAAUGGCCGCGCCCAGAGCGCCCAUCACAACUCCGCGUCCGCGCGCGCCGCGACCUCUAGCAGCUGCGGCAUCAGGCCCCGUGGGCACACGGGAGGGCCACCGUCCGCCACCCGUUCAUUCCCGCUCCCAGUCGCAGACGUCCCCACGGAGGAACCUCAGGAUCAGAGCGCGCCCCGUGCCACGACAGCACACCGCGAAUUGAUCACUCGCAUCCCACAGUACCUGUCGCAGGACCGCUUCAAAGGAAGUCGUGCCGGGGCUGGGGGCCUCAUCAUGGUCAGCCAGCAUGGCCGCGACGUCCGCCAAGGACAGGAUUCGCAUUCGCAUUGAAGCAUUUGAGCACUUCAAGGAUGGUUCCGUAGGCCCACGCACAUCAGGGUGCGGGCCCGCGCCCGCCGCUCAGCACCACCGCCGCUGCCGGGCUCGCCACCUACUACCACCGUCAGCAGACGGGCCUACCUCCUGCAUGCAGCCAGGGAUCUGAUCGCACGCCCAGCAGCGCCGCCAUCCGCUUCGAAAGCGACGGCCGCCGCCCAGCCGGCGGCGGCAGCAGGAAACCAGCCCGCAGGCUGGAGCCCGCGGCUACGACGGCGGGGGCGUCCGCGGUAGGUAUGUUGGUCAGGGGAAUGAUGACCUACCUGCUGUGAACCCGGGAAGGAAACGGAAGGAACCGCCUGCAAUACCAGGGUUUGCAUACCGUACAUCUUCGGGGAGCGGCAAAAAAUUGCCUCAAUGCCUCCCAAUUUGGGCACUCAGGCGAGAAAGAUUAUUGGGCAUUACCCGCGAUGCAUCUCGCCGCGUGGGCCUUCCAACGGCCCCCGCGAAUCUCUCCAAAUACCCCUUCCCGGGGGCUUUUGGGGGGGGGGUUGUAAAUACCAGCCCAAACUAAACCAAAACCCUCCCCCCCAACGCUGACAAUUAGGCAUUUUUGGGCCCCUGGGCGAGAACGUGGUUAGGGCCCUUCUCGCCAGCGGCGGCGGCCCACCCCUGCAAGAUGCAAGCCCUGUGAAAUACUCACUCACUCACGCCGGGCCCCACCAUCGCCCCCGCAACUGCGGGCGGCAGCGCGUGUUGCGAACAAACGCUACGGUGCAAGCUGAAACUGCUCAACUCGUGCCCAAAGCCCACCCCCGGCCCGCGCACACACGCCGCGGCGGCCCAGCCAGGGCAAACCGCGCACACGAUCACCCGUGUCCUCACUCGCAUCAUCGCAUGCAUGCGCAGUCGGAGUCUAUCUGCGACCCCGUCGCUCGGGCGGUCUAUGCGAGGCUCUAUAGACUACUAGCCAACCGUGCGCCCUUGGGGGGGGGGGCGGAAAUGGUACCCGAGGACAUGGCGCGGUGUGGCGCGAACUGGCGACAUUAAAAAUGGUGCAUGCACCUAAACAUCACGGGGCGUGUAGGGGGCCCCACCCGGGAACUCGUUGCGACCGCAAUGGCUUGCGCCCCUCCCCCUUCGGGGGAAGGGGCAAGCCAACCUCGGGGCGUGUAGCCUGCGUGCUGUUAUGGUGGCGGGUCUGCCUCGGCCCGCAGUCCAACCCGCCCAUUACGUACGUCCGGUGGGGGCAGCUGGGGACAGGGGCCUGGCUGUGUUCCAGGUGGGUCUCUUGGGGUUCGCGUUAUCACAACGCAUCGCAGCCUUCGCUUGGUACUCUGCGGCCAGUCUACGCCAGCCCAGCCUCUGACAGCCGUAUACACCAGCUGAAAGCUUUAGGACGCCGGAGUGGCGCAGCUUGGCGCGCGGUUAUCUCGUCAAAGGUAACGUAGCAGUUGCAGUCGCUGCUCAUACUCACGCUUUUGUUUUUUGCUUGUGCUAGCUCACUGGCCUCGGCUCUACAACGUCAUGUUCGCUUGUGCGUGUUGCGCUCUUUCAAGCAUAUCAAUAACGGGAACCCCUGGCUGGGGACGACGACGGUUCCGCGGGGCCGGGCCCGGGUACUGGUAGAUAGGUGCCGACCUGCAUGCAUGCAUGCAUGCAUGCAUGCAUACGACAGCACAUGUAAGGACGACGCAGCCAUGGAUGGAGCCAGCCUCCAAGACUCUCCAUCGUGACUACUCCUGGCGGCUCGGGACCGACGACGGUUCCGCGGGGGACAGGGGGGCCGGGGUACUGGUAGGUGCUGGCCUGCAUACAUGCAUACGACAGCACAAGUAAGGCCGCAGCCAUGGAUCUCCCAGAUGCUCCAUCGUGACUAUGCACGCUGGCUUUCUCGGCUUCGCAUGGUUCGCCUCCAAAGCAUUAUUCUCGACAACAUGGAUGCAUCGUGCGAGCUGGGUUGCAGAGUACGUGGUACGCGCACUACGUACUGUACGCGUGCUACGGACCAGUACGCUCCUCUUCGAAGUAUUGAACGCUGGAGCAUACGUUGUGCAGGGGGGGAAGGGCAGGGGGGGUACGUCGUCGUAACGUCAAACUCGUGUGCAUCAUUCCACGUCGGCCCUGGCCCUCGGCCCUGGCCCCCCUUCAAGUCCAGUUCCAUACAACAUUUAUGUUGGAAUGGCUCUGGAAUGGGAAUUGGGUGCACGCCGGGAGCGGAAUGAGCGGCACUGACAGCCUGGGGCAACAGUGGGGCCGUGUGGGUGUGCGUGUGUCGGUCGGGAGCGAGGUCGCACCAUGCUGGCGAGCCAAACAGCGAAUUCAGUCUUUCAACUGUAUUCCUCAUCAUACACAUUGUUAUACAUAAUACCCUUUGACCCUUGUUUGUCAUUAGCAGAGCUCACGCAAGCUUCGUUUGCCUGCGCAUAGGACUGGCCCGUUGUUCCUUUCAUCCGAUCAGCUUGUCUGUUUUCCCAUGUAUAGUAUCAGCUAGCACUUACGUACUACGAGGCACUGUGAGCCUCAGCCUGAGACUAAAAUGUUACGGGCCGGACGCGGCAGCGCAGCGAGUGGACAUGGCUUAGGCAGUAGCUACAAUGCUCCAGCGUCAGCACGCACAUGGCAUAGAAUGUGCCCAUGCGGCACACCGCUGACCCAGCCUCGCGCCGCUCGGACCGCCGGGCGCCUCGGCCCCUCGGCGACCGCCGGCGGUUUGGCCCGCGGCCUGACAUGCAGCUCCGCAACCAGCGGCCCGGCGGCGGCAGUGCUCAGCGGCGGCUUCCCCCGCCUUGCCGCCACCGCACCUGCUGCCACAGGGGCUGGCGGCGGUCUGCGGCAGCUACUGCCGCUAGCGGCCUGGGCCCGUCAAGCUGCACCAGCGCCCGCCACUGCCGCACCUGCAGCAGCCGGGGCGCGCAGCUGUCUCCUGCAGCCGGGGCGGCGCGCGCAGCAGCAGGUGCUGGCGGCUGCGGGGAGGUACGGCAGUGGCGGCACCAGUCACAGGAGCAGUGGCAGGAGCAGUGACAGCACCAGUGACAGCAGCAUUGACAGCAGCAGUGGCAGGGGCAGUGACAGCAGCAGUAACAACGAUAGGAGCAGAGGCGGACAUGGCGCGGACAGGGCGGGCAGGGGCAGGGCAGGCGGAGGCCGUUGGGCCGGCGGCAGGACGGGCGGUGGCAGUGGCAGGACGGGCGGCGGCGGCGGCGGAGGCGGCAGGGCGCGUGACCCCGCGGAUGACAUGACUGUGUGUCGGACUCUGGAGGACCUGCAUGACGUCAUUGAUAAGCGGCUGGCGGUGUGGUCAGAGCGGCAAGACGUGAUGACCAUGUCAGCUGCCUUCAACCUGUGUGGCAAGGUGAGCGGUAGGCUUGGCGCGCUAUCUGGUGGGCAACAAUAGGAGGAGGGUCAGGGCCAGUGGCCGGGCUUGCCGGUAAGCACGUGCGGGCCUUCCUGAGAACAGUGCGAGGACUGAUAACACCAACAACACACGCACCUCCUUGGCACGUAGCACAGGACACGCACAGAUAGACAGGGACGUGUUGCGUGCUGAUGCAAGGGUGCAAAGGCGUGGGAGUCGUUAUAAACCCUACCAAGGUCCCGGCUCGAUGGGACUCAAUGUGUGUUUAGGCAUGCGCGCUUCUGUCCCGCGGUUCGAUUCUUGCAAGUGCGCGGUACUACUUUCAAUGCCAUUGAUUGCCCUCCCCUGCAGCUGGAGUCCGCACGCGGCGGCGGGCCGGCCGCCACAGCCGCGGCCCGCGCUGCCAUCGUGGCGGCUCUUGCGCCUGCUCUCCUUCCGCUCGUGCCGCGAAUCCGCCAGCCGGCCGGCUGCAGCCUUCCGCUGUGGGCGCUGGCAAAGGCUGGGGCUGCCAGCGACGGGCGUGUGGAGUCACAGCUGGCGCCGGCACUGCUGCAGCGGCUGGUGGAUCCGGUGUUGCUGAAGGCGGCGAAGCCGCAAGAGCUAUCGAAUGCGCUGUAUGCCCUGGGCAAGCUGCGGGAGGAGCAGCAGCAGCGGGGCUCGGGCUGGGACCCCACCUCAUCGCCGCAUCUGAACGCACUGACCGGCGCUGUGGCCUCGCGGCUGCGUGCGGCGGAGGGGCACGUCUUCAAGCCGCAGGAGCUUUCCAACAGCCUGUGGGCGUGCGCCAAGCUGGGGUACCGAGACUCAGACCUCCUGCUGCCGCUGGCGGAGGCGGCCGCAGCCCUUGCCCCGGACAUGAAUGCGCAAGAAAUAUCCAACAGCCUGUGGGCGCUUGGGGCCCUGGGCUGCACCGGACCGGCGUUUCGGGCAGUGCUGGAGACGCUGUGUGGUGCGGCGCUGCGGCGGCUCCGGGUACCGGAGAAAUCUGAGGCGUUCAAGCCGCAGCAUCUGUCCAACAUCCUGCUGGCGAUGGAGGGGCUGCAGCUGCGAGGCAUGCAGGCAGAGCUGCUGGCGGCAGCUGUAGCUGCAGAGUGCGUGCGACGGCUCCGGACACCGAUGGGAGCUGAAGCGUUCAAGCCACAGGAGCUGUCCAACAUCCUGCUGGCGCUGGAGGGGCUGCAGCUGCGAGGCAAGCAGUCCGAGCUGCUGGCGGCUGCAGUAGCAGCAGAGGGUGUGCGGCGGGGCUUUGCCGGCUUCAACCCGCAAUGCCUCAGCAACUCGGCGUGGGCCCUGGCUAAGAUGGGGUAUGGGGCCGGUGCAACGUCGCAAGCCACGGAGCAGAGCCAGUGGUACGCGGCCGCGGCGGCAGCAGCUGAGCGGCCCGGGGUCAUGGCCGGCGCCAAGCCGCAGGAGUGGGCCAACCUGUUGUAUGCGCUUGCGUCAGUGCGCCACCAGCCGCCGCCCGCGCUGCUUGACGCAGGCGCCGCGGCGGUGAUGCAGCGAGGCAAUGCACAGGAAUGUGCAAACACGCUUUGGGCUCUGGCGGUGCUGCAGCUGCGUCACGCCGGCUUGGAGGCGGCGGUGUGCGGCCGGCUGGGCGAGCUGCUGCGGCUAGGCCCGGAGUCGCUUGUUGCACAGGAGCUUUGCAACAGCUUGUGGGCGCUGGCGGUGCUGGCAGGCGGCGGUGGCCCUGCUAGCCCGGCUGCCGCUGCGCUGGCCCCGGCGCUUGCCCUUGAGGCCGUGCGGCGGCGUGAGGAGCUCAAUGGAGACGGCUUGAGGCAGCUCUGGCAGGCGCGACAGGAGUUGGGCGGUGAGGUGGCGGAGGCUCUUGCCCGCAGCCCCGACCUGCUAGCCGCGAUGGAGGCGGCGGUGGCUGCCGAACGGGCGACAACGUCGACCACCAGCAGACUGCAGGAGCAGGUGGCAGAGGCGCUUCAGCGACUGCUGCAGAAGGAUCUCCUGCCCAUUGUGUCCGUGCAGACGGAGGUGGUGGUGGAGGGCGUGCUGGGGCGUGUGGACAUUGUGGCGGGCUGGAGGGACGGGCGGAGCGUGGCCAUUGAGGUGGACGGGCCAGACCACUUCCUCACCAACCGGAAGAACGACCCGUCCGCGGCAAUUGGUUCUACGGCCCUACGCAACCGGCAGCUGCGGCGGGCGUUUGGGGAGGGCGGCCUGCUGUGUGUGCCGUACUGGGAGUGGUACGGCCUGAAAACGUCUUCCGCUCAGGAGGCCUACCUGCUGCAGCAGCUGCAGGAUCUGCUAUCGGGCGCUUCGUCAGGAGCAGUAGCAGCAGGGGAAGGCAGCGCCGCCACCCCUCGCCGCAAGCAGGAGCGGACGACUCGGCCGCAGCCAAACACUGCCGGCCGCACCAGCACCAGCACCACCGCUGGCAGCAGCCAGAACAGGCGCGUCCUCGUUGUUGUCCGCAGGAAGGCGCGAAAGCAGCAGGAGGUGGCCUGCGGUGGUGGGGCGGGAGAGGCCUCGGAUGCAACAGUAGCUGCAGCGACGGUACCGGCGGAGGCUGAGGUGGUGGCCCCUGCCGGGCAGCAGCAAACGGAAACGGUGCAGCGGCUUCCGAACAGUGGCGCUGGUGGCGGUGCUGGCGAGGGCGGAGGAGACAGAGCUCCUCUGGCGCCGCAGCCACCACCACCGCAGCAGCCGCGCGUGUCAGCGCCCCGGGCGCGCCGCAGCAGCCGCCAAAGCCCAAGCCGCAGUAUUCAGGCGGGCUCGCCUCCUCCUUCGGUUGAGGCCCCGCCGCCGGAGCAGAUGCAGGCGGCAGCGCCACCCCGGCGGACCGCGGGUGGGAAGCGGACUGUGCGGAAAGCGGCGGCGGCUCCGGCAGCAGGUGGCGGCGGCAGUGACCCCGAGGCGGUGGUGGUGCCGGCCGCGGUCUCUGAAAAGCAGGCGGCGGUGGUGGCUGGGGAGGAGGGCUCAACGUUAGCAGACGUGGAGGGUGGUGGUAGUGGUAGUGGCAGGGGCGGGGGCAGCAGGCGGAGGCGGGCGGUGGGACCGGCAGGCGUGCGGCCUCGUCAAGCCUAGCAGCAGCGAGUGAACGAAAGGGGGCGGGGAGCAGUGACCUGGGUUAGUGGUUGCGGCACAAACGUGCACACGACUUGUGGUUUGCGCAGCGGUUUUCCUUGUGUCUUUUCCCAACGCACGUGUGUAAGGAGCAGUGAAUGCAACAUGCUAAGGCGCGGCGCGACGGGCGUUUGGCGUUGUGUGGUGCGAAUUUGGUGCGGUGCCCAGUACGGUGGGCAUCUGUGGUGACGGUCAGGCAGGUGAGCGGCCGUGAGGCCCAGUAGGGGUGGCCAUACAUGGGGUGCAGCGAGGGGCGGGGCAUGAAGCAGUGGAGUUGGGGCACACACACCAGCUACCUACCGUAGUGACACGUGCACACACGGCGCGUCAAAUGCGCCAAGUUUGAGGCAUGCCGCUUGUGUUUUGUGGGCAGAUGGUAGAGGGCUACGGGUCAGCGGUGGCAGUGGCCGGGGCCUGGGGCUUGUGUGUUGGUGGCGGCUGACGUGACGAGCAGGCGUGACGCUGGGGUGGCGCUGGGGUAGGCGGGGGAGAUGGAGAGACCCCUCCGCGUGUAGCAGGCCAUGGAUGGGCCCGGUUGGCACGAAAUACGCGACGCAGUAUGUGUGUACGGUAUUUGGUGGGGUUAACACCCAUCAGUACCGUACUCCUCCUAGAUGUGGAGGCCGCGAGGCUCACCGCUAGGUGCGUCGUCGGUACAUCAAACUCGUGCCAACAUCUACCUUGGCCCUGGCCCUCGGCCCUGGCCCUCCUCCAAGCCGAAUCUUAUCCAACAUCUCUAUCGUAUUGACUCUGGAAUGGGAAACGGGUGCACGACGGGGGCGGAAUGAGCGGCACUGACAGCCACGGGCAAGAGCGGGGUUGUUAGGCGUCGGCCGGGAGCGAGGUCGCAUGCUGGCGAGCCAUACAGCGAAAUUAGUCUCACACCUGCAUUCCUCACCUUUAACAUCGUUAUACGUAAUACCCCUUUGACCCUUGUUUGUGAUUAUGUCCUUGUUUGUCAUUCGCAGAGCUCAUGCAAGCUCCGUUUGCCUGCACAUGACACCGGACUGGCCCGUUGUUCCUUUCGUCCGAUCAACUUGUCUAUACUUCCAUGUAUAGUAUCAGCUAGCACUUACGUACUACGAGGCACUGUGGGCCUCAGCCUGCUGAGCCUAAAAUGUUACAGUCCGGACGCGGCGCCGCAGCGAGUAGACAUGGCUUAGGCAGCAGCUAUAAUGCUCCAGCAUCAGCACGCACAUGGCAUAGAGUGGCCCAAUGCGGCACACCGCUGACCCUGCCUCGCGCCGCUCGGACCGCCGGGCGCCUCGGCCCGUCGGCGACCGCUGGCGGUGUGGCCCGCGGCCUGGCGUGCAGCUCCGCAACCAGCGGCCCGGCGGCGGCAGUGCUCAGCGGCGGCGGCCCCUGCCUUUCCGCCACCGCACCUGCUACCACAGGGGCUGGCGGCGGUCUGCGGCAGCUACUGCCGCUAGCGGCCUAGGCCCGUCAAGCUGCACCAGCGCCCGCCACUGCCGCUCCUGCAGCAGCCGGGGCGCGCAGCUGUCUCCUGCAGCCGGGGCGGCGCGCGCAGCAUCAGGUGCUGGCGGCUGCGGGGAGGUAUGGCAGUGGCAGCACCAGUGACAAGAGCAGUGGCAGGAGCAGCAGCAGCGCGCGUGGCGGCAUCGGCGGCAGCCGCAGUAGCAGUGACGGUGGCGGCAGGGCGGGCAGGGGCAGGGCAGACAAAGGCCGUUGGGCUGGCGGCGGCGGGCGUGGCAGUGGUGGUGGCGGCAGGCCGCGUGACCCCGAAGACUUGAUGAUCGGGUAUGCGACUCUGGAGGCCCUGCAAGCAGUCAUUGAUCGGCGGCUGGCGGUGUGGUCAGAGCGGCAAGACGUGAGCACUAUGUCAGCUGCCUUCGGCCGUUGUGGCAAGGUGAGAGGUUGGCUUAGGGGCAGUGAAAGGUGUUUGGGUUUGCCUGUAAGCACGUGCGGGCGUUCCUGAUCGCAGUGCGAGAACUGACAACAUUCAACAACAACACGCACCUCCAAGCUUGCUUCUCACCGCCGCCAUAUCAAGUGAUCGGGGUAUCGUCCUUUCCCACUGCCCCCUCCCUUCCCUGCAACUUGAGUCCGCACGUGCCGGCGGGCCCACCGCCACAGCCGCGGCCCGUGCCGGCAUCAUGGCGGCCCUUGCGCCUGCUCUCCUUCCGCUCGUGCCGCGCAUCCGGCAGCCGGCCGACUGCAGCCUUCCGCUGUGGGCGCUGGCGAAGGCUGGGGCUGCCAGUGACGGGCGUGUGGAGUCACAGCUGGCGCCGGCACUGCUGCAGCGGCUGGUGGAUCCAGUGUUGCUGAAGACUGCAACUCCUCAAAACUUGGCGAACGCGCUGUAUGCCCUGGGCAAGCUGCGGGAGCAGCAGCAGCAGCGGGGCUCGGGCUGGGACCCCACCUCGUCGCCGCAUCUGAAUGCGCUAGCGAGCGCUGUGGUCUCGCGUCUGCAUGCGGCGGAGGGGCACGGCUUCAGCGCGCAGGAGCUUUCCAACAGCCUGUGGGCGUGCGCCAAGCUGGGGUACCGAGACUCAGACCUCCUGCUGCCGCUGGCGGAGGCGGCCGCAGCCCUUGCCUGCGGCAUGCGUGCGCAAGACCUGGCCAACAACCUGUGGGCGCUAGAGGUCCUUGGCUGCACCGGACCGGCGUUUCGGGCAGUGCUGGAGACGCUGUGUGGUGCGGCGCUGCGGCGGCUCCGGACACCGAAGGAAGCUGCAGCGUUCAUUCCGCAGCACCUGUCCAACAUCCUGCUGGCGCUUGAGGGGCUGCAGCUGCGAGGCAUGCAGGCAGAGCUGCUGACGGCAGCUGUUGCUGCAGAGUGCGUGCGGCGGCUAGGGACACCGAAGGAAGCUACAGCGUUCAUUCCGCAGGAGCUGUCCAACAUCCUGCUGGCGCUGGAAGGUCUGAAGCUGCGAGGCAAGCAGUCCGAGCUGCUGGCGGCGGCAGUAGCAGCGGAGGGUGUGCAGCGGGGGUUUGCCGGCUUCAACCCGCAAUGCCUCAGCAACUCGGCGUGGGCCCUGGCCAAGAUGGGGUAUGGGGCCAGUGCAACGUCGCAAGCCACGCAGCAGAGCCAUUGGUACGCGGCCGCGGCGGCAGCAGCUCAGCGGCCCGGGGUCAUGGCCGGCGCCAUGCCGCAGAACUGGGCCAACCUGCUGUACGCGCUUGCGUUGGUGCGCCACCAGCCGCCGCCCGCGCUGCUUGACGCAGGCGCCGCGGCGGUGAUGCAGCGAGGCAAUGCACAAGACUGUGCAAACACGCUUUGGGCUCUGGCGGUGCUGCAGCUGCGUCACGCCGGCUUGGAGGCGGCGGUGUGCGGCCGGCUGGGCGAACUGCUGCGGCUGGAGCCGGAGUCGCUUGUUGCACAGGAGCUUUGCAACAGCUUGUGGGCGCUGGCGGUGCUGGCAGGCGGCGGUGGCCCUGCUAGCCCGGCUGCAGCCACGCUGGCCUCGGCGCUUGCUCGUGAGGCCGCGCGGCGUCGUGAGGAGUUUCAGACCGAGGCGCUAAGUCAGCUCUGGCAGGCGCAACAUGCGUUGGGCGGCGAGGUGACAGAGGCUCUUGCCCGCAGCCCCGACCUGCUAGCCGCGAUGGAGGCGGCGGUGGCUGCCGAACGGGCGACAACGUCGAACACCAGCAGUACGCAGAAGCAGGUGGCAGAGGCGCUUCAGCGCCUGCUGCAGAAGGAUCUCCUGCCCAUUGUGUCCGUGCAGACGGAGGCGGCGGUGGAGGGCGUGCUGGGGCGUGUGGACAUUGUGGCGGACUGGAGCGAUGGGCGCAGAGUGGCCAUUGAGGUGGACGGGCCGGACCACUUUCUCACCAAUCGGAAGGACGACCCAUCCGCGGUAGACGGUUCGACGGUCCUACGCAACCGGCAGCUGCGGUGGGCGUUUGGGGAGGGUGGCCUGCUGUGUGUGCCUUACUGGGAGUGGGACAGGCGGAAGACUUAUUCCGCUCAGCAGGCCUACCUGCUGCAGCAGCUGCAGGAUCUGCUAUCGGGCGCUUCGUCAGGAGCAGCAUCAGCAGGGGAAGGCAGCGCCGCCACCCCUCGCCGCAAGCAGCAGCGGACGACUCCGCCGCAGCCGGAUACUGCCGGCCGCAGCAGCAGCACCACCAACACCACCAGCACCAGCGCCAGCACCACCGCUGGCAGCAGCCAGAAGAAGCGCGUCCUCGUUGUUGUCCGCAGGAAGGCGCCAAAGCAGGAAGCGGUCGGCGGCGGCGGUGGGGCCGGAGGGGCCUCGGAUGCAACAGUAGAUGCAGCGACGGUACCGGCGGAGGCUGAGGUGGCGGCCCCUGCCCGGCAGCAACAAGCGGAGGAGUCGCAGCGGCUUCCCAUCAGUGGCGCUGGUGGCGGUGCUGGCGAGGACGGAGGAGACGGAGCUCCUCUGGCGCCGCAGCCACCACCACCGCAGCAGCGGCCGCGCGUGUCAGCGCCCCGGGCGCGCCGCAGCAGCAGCCAAAGCCACAGCAGCAGCAGCAGCAGCCAGGCGGGCUCGCCUCCUCCUCCUUCGGUUGAGGCCCCGCCGCCGGAGCAGGUGCAGGCGGCAGCGCCACCCAGGCGGGCCGCGGGUGGGAAGCGGACUGAGCGAAAAGCAGCGGCGGCUCCGGCAGCAGGUGGCGGCGGCGGCGGCGGCAGUGACCCCGGGGCGGUGGUGGUGCCGGCCGCGGUCUCUGAGAAUCAGGUGGCAGUGGUGGCUGGGGAGGAGGGCUCUACGGUAGCAGCUGUAGCAGGUGGUGGUGGUGGUGGUGGUAGUGGCGGGGGCGGGGGCCUACCCGCGGGCAGCAGGCGGAGGCGGGCGGGAGGGACCGGCAGGCGUGCGGCACAGAAGUCUAGCAGCAGUGUGUGAUUGAAAAGUUAGAAGCCGUGGAUGUGGAUAAUGAAUGCGGCACAAACGUGCACACGACUUGUGGUUUGCGCAGCGGUAUCCCUUGUGUCCUUUUCCAACGUACGUGUGUAUGGAAGCAGUGAAUGCAACAUGCUACGGCGCGGCGCGAUGGGCUUUUGGCUUUGUGUGGCGUGUGUUUGGUGCGGUGCCCAGUACGGUAGGCAUAUGUGGUGACGGUCAGGCAGGUGAGCGGCCGUGGGGCCCAGUAGCGGUGGCCAUGCACGGGGUGCAGCGAGGGGCGGGACGUGAAAUGGUGGAGUUAGGGCACACACACCAGCUAGCUACCGUAGUGACACGUGCACACACGGCGCGUCAAAGGCACCAAACUUGAGGCAUGCCGCUUGUGUUUUGUGGGCAGAGGGUAGAGAGCCACGGGUCAGCGGUGGCAAUGGCCGGGGCCCGGGGCGUGUGUGUUGGUGGCGGCUGACGUGGCGAGUACGCGUGACGCUGGGGGACAGGCGGAGGAGAGGGAGAGACCCCUCCGCGUGUAGCAGGCCGUGGAUGGGCCCGGUUGGCAUGAAAUACGAGACGCAGUAUGUGUAUACCGUAUUUGCUUGGUGGGGUUAACACCCAUCACUAUCCUCCUAGUUGUGGAGGCCGUGAGCCUCACCACCAGGUACGUCAUCGGUAUAUCAAACUCGUGCCACAUCUUCCUUGGCCCUGGCCCUCGGCCCUGGCCCCCCUUCAAGUCCAAUCAUAUUCAACAUUUGUGUUGGAUUGAAUGUGGAAUGGGAAACGGGUGCACGCCGGGGGCGGAAUGAGCGGCACUGACAGCCACGGGCAACAGCGGGGCCGUGUAUGUGUGCGUGCGUCGAGGUCGCAUGCGAGCCAACCGGUGGCCGGGCGCCCGGAGCAGGGGGGGGGUAGGAAACAAAGUGCCAGACCCCAUGCCCCGAAAUCCCCCGGGACCCCCCUUGAGGGGACGACCGACCCCCCCCCGGACAAAACCUUGUUGUUUAGGGGUUAAAACCCCUCCGUUUGAUACCAAAGUGGUGCCAAUCGACUCCUCUUGACGAGCACUAUCACUCCGUGCCAUCAGCGGUCCUGUUCUGAGACUUCGGUCACGGGAUCCUAUCCAUUGAAAUCCCCUCGACCCAGACCACCCCGCGCUCAACUCUGUGCCGCGUGACGAAUGGACAAUGUGCAUCGGCAGCCUUGUUAGACGUGAACUCAUGUGCACCAGCGCUAGAGAGCCCAGCCGUGGCAGUGCGCAUAUGUCGAAUGUGGGGACAUGUGCCGACAUGUCCACCCCCGGACGCGCAACUCACCUUCCCACGCUUUGUUUGUGUUUAUUACGGCAUAACAUGCACAUAUGAACCUCGCAGUGCUGCGUUUGGCCCCCAGUUCUGCUUGUGGGGCGCUUCCCGAAAUCCGCCAGGAUGGGCUCCCGAAACCCGGUGGACCCCCAGGGACGACGACCGACCCCCCAACUUUGGCGGCCCAGAACUUCCUCACCAGACACCCCCUGACAAAACUAAAAGCACGUGCAUAAUGCUCUCCUUAAGCUCUGUAAUAUUGAGCAUGGGGUAAGAAACUGAGCUUUCUACCCCCCCCCUGCCCGGAGCGUGAGGAAUGCGCGUCAGCAAAACAUCGACACAACCUGCCAGCUACCGUCGGUACAGUAACAGCGCGCGAACAACGCACCAAUGCCUUGUCCCUUCUUGCUACGCAUUUAUGUGGGCACGGGUGGGAGCCACACACAUCGGGACUACGCUUUCCUGCCCCUUGCCAUGUUCCAUCACGAGCGAGCCAAACAGCGAAUUCAGUCUCACAACUGCAUUCCUCAUCAUACACAUCGUUAUAUGUAAUACCCCUUUGUCCUUGUUUGUCAUUAGCAGAGCUCACGCAAGCUCCAUUUGCCGGCACACCGGACUGGCCCGUUGUUCCUUUCGUCCGAUCAGCUUGUCUAUACUUCCAUGUAUAGUAUCAGCUAGCACUUACUUACUAUAAGGCACUGUGGGCCUCAGCCUGCUGAGCCUAAAAUGUUACAGUCCGGACGCAGCACCGCAGCUAGUAGACAUGGCUUAGGCAGUAGCUAUAAUGCUCCAGCGUCAGCACGCACAUGGCAUAAACUGGGCCCAUGCGGCACACCGCUGACCCAGGGUCGCCCAGCCUCGCGCCGCCCGGACCGCCGGGUGCCUUGGCCCCUCGGCGACCGCCGGCGGUGUGGCCCGCGGCCUGGCGUCCGCAACCAGCGGCCCGGCGGCGGCAGUGCUCAGCGGCGGCGGCCCCCUCCUUGCCGCCACCGCACCUGCUGCCACAGGGUCUGGCGGCGGUCUGCGGCAGCUACUGCCGCUAACCGCCUGGGCCCGUCAAGCCGCGGCAGCGCCCGCCACUGCCGCACCUGCAGCAGCCGGGGCGCGCAGCUGUCUCCUGCAGCCGGGGCGGCGCGCGCAGCAGCAGGUGCUGGCGGCUGCGGGGAGGUAUGGCAGUGGCAGCACCAGUGACAAGAGCAGUGGCAGGAGCAGUGGCAGCAGCAAUAACAACGAUAAGGGCAGAGGCGGACAUGUCGAGGACAGGACGGGCAGGGGCAGGGCAGGCGGAGGCCGUUGGGCCGGCGGCAGGACGGGCGGUGGUGGUAGCAGGAGUGGCGGCGGCGGCGGCAAGGCGCGUGACCCCGCGGAUGACAUGUCCGUGUGUCGGACUCUGGAGGACCUGCAUGACGUCAUUGAUCGGCGGCUGGUGGUGUGGUCAGAGCGGCAAGACGUGAUGACCAUGUCAGCUGCCUUCAACCUGUGUGGCAAGGUGAGAGGUUGGACUAGCUAGCGGGCAUGAACAGGAGGAGGGACAGGGGCAGGGGUCGGAGUUGCCGGGCUUGCCGGUACGCACGUGCGGGCCUUCCUGAUCAUAGUGUGAGCACUGACAACACCAACAACACACGCACCUCCUUGGCACGUAGCACAGGACACGCACAGAUAGACAGGGACGUGUUGCGUGCUGAUGCAACGGUUGAUGGCGUGGAAGUCGUUAUUUGCCGCGCACCGUACUCCUACCAAGGUCCCGUCUCGAUGGGAUUCAAUUGUUGUUUAGGCAUGCGCGCUCCUGUCCCGCGGUUCGGUCCUUGCACUGGCGCGGUACUACGUUCAAUGCCACUGAUUGCCCACCCCUGCAGCUUGAUUCCGCACGCGCUGGCGGGCCGGCCGCCACAGCCGCGGCCCGUGCCGGCAUCGUGGCGGCUCUUGCGCCUGCUCUCCUUCCGCUCGUUCCGCGCAUCCGCCAGCCGGCCGGCUGCAGCAUACCGCUGUUGGCGCUGGCGAAGGCUGGGGCUGCCAUCGACGGGCGUGUGGAGUCACAGCUGGCGCCGGCACUGCUGCAGCGGCUGGCGGAUCCGGUGUUGCUGAAGACUGCCACUCCUCAAAACUUGGCGAACGCGCUGUAUGCCCUGGGCAAGCUGUGGGAGGAGCAGCAGCAGCGGGGCUCGGGCUGGGACCCCACCUCAUCGCCGCACUUGAUAGCGCUGACCGGCGCUGUGGCCUCACGGCUGCGUGCGACGGAGGGGCACGGCUUCAAGCCGCAGCAUGUUUCAAACAGCCUGUGGGCGUGCGCCAAGCUGGAGUACCGAAACUCAGACCUCCUGCUGCCGCUGGCGGAGGCGGCCGCAGCCUAAUAUAAUACAAAUGUGCAAUAUUAAUUCAGGCAGGCUCUGAAUCCGUGCGGGGCGGCCGCACGGGCAAGUGGGCCAAGUUGGGGUAGGCUGGCAAUUAGGCACAUUCCGAGCUAGCGUGUGUGUGAGGAGGGUGGGAAUUUUGGGGAUUGGCUGUUUUUGCGUGGUUGGGACUACCCGUUUCCAAGCACUGUUGCAGUUCCCUAGCGGGCCGGCCCAGCACUGCUGGAUGCCUGGGCGGGACAACCGGAUGGCUCGGCGGGGACUGUUGGAUGGCCCGGUCGGGCCGACCCGGGAAUGCUGGAUGGCCCGGCGGGGACUCAGGGGUCGUAUCUUGUUUUCAGGGCAAUGUCUGGGCUCAGACAAAAACGGCCGGGUGGCCGCCGUCUUUUGUCUGGGCACAUGGCGGUUUGGGGGCUUGUCCAUAGGAAUUCGGACAAAACCCGCCCCAAAACCGGGCCAACAAUGUCUUGCCUCAGACAUUAGUCCCCGGGAGGAAUGUCUAGGAAACGGCCAAAAUGGCCAAUUAAUGUCUGGAGACAUUAAGAUAGGAGCCCUGCGGGGACUGCUGGAUGGCUGGGUCGGGGUCACCCCAGCACUGUUGAAUGGCUCUGCACGUAACACGCGGCGUGCUGUUAUGACUGCACCGCGGACCAGGGAGGAGCGUGGGGGUAUGCCAUGGGUAUUGCAGGGGUAGGCCGCUUUGAACUGCGUGUUUUUGUGCUUCCCAUGUCAUGUCCUCAAAAUUGAACACCUUCGCUACGCCUUAGUAUCAAUACUAUAAUGAGCUAUGUUCACGCUACAGCGGCCGUUUAUAGCUAAACGCUAAACCCCGAAACGAUGUCUCUGCGGAAGACGUCCAGCGUUCGCUUUAGUUUACCCCGAUGAAUUGUGCACAUGUAAUAGGUUGUGUUCAUUGGUGUGGGCAUAGACUGUGACGAGAAGGGGCCGGGGCACCCGAGAUGGCCGAAGCGAACCAGUGGUUCGUCCGGCUCGCUGGCCGCUUCUGGGCGUCUCAAAGGACGGGCUUGACUACUCAUGCUGUUGUUUAUAUCCCAUGCCCGUGGAACCAGGAAUUGGUGCUAGAAAGACGACAGUUACUUGUUGAUUUGCUGUGUGGCUGCAGCUUUCAGCGGACAAACAGCAGCUUAAGAAAGAACAACCUACACGCUUAUAUGAUUAUGAAACAAAUUAAGACGAAAAGAGGUUCGGUGGGUUCGCCAUGUCACGCCGUGUCGACCGGCACGCCCCCAGCAUGUUCCCCGCCCAGAGGGAGGAGCUUUUCUUCCUAUGGGUUUGGCUUUUCUCCAAACAGCUCUCCAAGUCAGGAAACGUGAUGUGUGCGUGGGUUGGCUCGCGUCUGCUGGAUGUCCGUGCUGGGGUUGGCCCAGGGAUGCGGGAUGAGCCGGCGACCAAUGCGUGGAUGGCUGGGUCGGGUCGGCCCGGAACUGUUGGAUGGCCGGGCGGGCACUGUCGCAUACCCCGGUCGGGUCGCCCCCAGGUAGGCAGGUUAUGUGGCCGGGCUAUGCUGGAUGCCCGCGCCGGCUGGAUGCGUCUCCGACCCCGAUGCCCUGGAUGGCUCGCCCAGACAUCCCUCCCACCCUCCUGUGUGUGCGACAGUGUAGUGUGGGCGGAGCCCGCAUGAGACCCAGAAACGAUGAGAGGCACGGCCAGUGGCGCCGAUAAGCCACCACGACGUCCCGUGUUCCGACAUAACCCCUCCGCGCACCGCUAAAAUUACUAGAGAUAAAUUUUCAAGCGUCAGUACGGUAGGGGUGUGGGGUAUGUGUGAUGGGAAAGUGUUAAGGCAGGUUGGUGAAGUCCCGUAGGGUGCAGCUGAUUCCCAGACCCCAGCAGAUGGCAAACAAUUUGAAACGGCAGGGCAGGAGUGUGCGGCUGGUCGAACGCCGGAGUGUCUCCGGAUCCCCACGCACGCCGUGGCCCUUGUCCAUCGGCGGUGUGUUUUUGCGGAAUGGGGUAGAGGCGUCGCAUGCAUGUUUUUUCCUGGUUUUUGGGGCCAAAAUUUAUAGUUUUAACGGAUCCGUUAUUUAUUACCGAAAAAAACACUGACCAUCGCCCCUAGCACCAUGUUUCCCGGGCAGUCGCCGGCAUGGACUCACGCACAGCGCGCGCACGUGUCCUGAGUCCCGAAAUCCUGAAGUCCCGAACCGUUCCCGACUGAGGUACACGCGACAGACCAAUGCAUGCUGUGUUCGCAUUCGCAUCUACGCAUUUCAGUGAUGUUCGGUGUACGACAACACAAGCAAGAACGCAGCCCUGGUUGUGGCCCGGUGGCAAUCGAGCAAGCAGUGCUGUGGGGGGGAUCGGGUCUGCGAUCAUGCAUCAUGCAUGGGUUUGUCCCGUAUAUCCGGGACUUCAGGAACUCGGGACUUCAGGAAUUUGGGACUCAGGACACUUGCAAUUUGGGGAGAAAAUUUUGACUACAUCUCCCUCAUCAUGCCUGGGCCUGUCGUCGCCUCGCUUACUUGCCGCAGUCUUGCCCCGGCCUUGGCUUGAUACAUACGAUACUCCUCUCCCCGCAGAACCCCUGUCUCCCCGGGUUACCUCCUCCUCCGUUUGUCUUUUGUUAUACCGUAGUUUUGGGCUGGUAUCUACAAACCCCCCCCCCACACACACACACACACACUGCCACAACACACCACCACACACGCCUCCUACUGCUGCUGUGCCGGCUUGCUGCCUCAGCACGACACCCUGCCACGUGUGCAGCUGCUGCGACGCAUGCCUGAGUGCCUGCUAGCCCCCCGAUGCCUAAUUCGAUGCAGGCGCCUUCGCCAGGUUGCAUUUGGUUACAGCAGAGACCUGCUGCUUCCGCAGUUCACAGGCAACCAGUGACGACGACGUGCAGACUGCAGAGCGAUACCCCUGCUCUUACUUGACCCCACAGGUUCGUGCCGCGGCGUCUAUCGAAUCACAACCAACAACAGCAGCAAGGAAGUCAGUCACCGCCCAGGUGCCCACCACCAACCGCGCCUGCACGCACUCACCCGCUCCGCCCUGCUUGCCAAGCCCGCAGCGCCUCCCCUGCCGUGGUAUGUAAUCGCCCCCACCGCCACGGCCCAGCAACAGCCCCAUCCACCGCGCAGCGAUGGAUGCAACCCAAGGCCGCCGGUCACGCCCGCACCCAGGAAAAACAAAAGAAAACUCAGCCAACGACAGCGCCACACCUUACUCACACCUUGCUUGCGUGCAAGGAUCGACGAUUCCAAUAAUAAUCCCCACUGGUUCUCCAAGGCAGUCGGAAACAGGAGUGCGCUGCCCCUGACACGCGCCCUGCCGUCGUCAUCUCCCAUCCCUUGUCCCCCCUCUCCCCCCAACUUGCAUCCCUCUCCGCGUCGUCCACAAGAGCCGCUGCCCUCACGCCCAAGUGCUGAACACCACACAACACAAGGCCAGUCUGACGCCCGGAUGAUCCUUUGCGCCGAUGGCUGCCGUUUGCCGUGCGUUCCAACAGGCCCGCCAAGCGAUGACGUUUGUCAUCCUCGCUCUCCCGCCAUCCAUGAAAUAUAAUCAGAAGGAGCGAAGGAGCUAAACCCAAAUUCAAAAAGGAAGCCAAGCCUCCCCCAGUGCUGACUAGUACUGCUGCACGGCUAAAAUAGAGCCCUGGUCGAAACGUGUGAUCACUCAUAACUACAGUACGGGAAAAAGUAGAUGGCUCCGGGAAAAUAAUAACCCGCUCUGCUUUGCAACUUGGCCACACAACUUCCCCACGCUUAACCCCAUCACCACCAGUACUCUAAUGCUGCAGCAUGGAACGCAGCAGCACCGCACCGACCGCCGCCAUAACCAUUUGAGUCACGCCAGCGGCGCGCACGGCGGCGGCGGAGCCGCCCGCUGGCGCCGACACCGGCGCCGGCGCCGGCGUCGCGGCGUCGCCAGGCGCCGCCGCCGCCGCGUCCGUGGGCGCGGCGGCGGGAUCAUCGGCGCGGUCAGCGGCGGCGGGAGCGGUGGCCGAGGAGUCGGCAGGAGCGGACACAACAGCGGAGGCGGCGGGGGUGGCGGCGGCGUCGGGGGUGGCCGCGGCGUCGGGGGCGGGCUCCGCGGCGGCUGGGGUGGCGGCGGCGUCCGGCGUGGCGGCGGGGGCAGCGGCGGGCUGCGCGCAUGGGGACGUGUGGGUAAGGCGGGAGGGCAUGAGAGAAUGUUCACAGCAAGGUGCGGGUGUUGGGUUUACGUUGUACCAAUCCCGUAAGGAAACAGUCGGGUGUUGGGAAGCUAGCUAGCUAGGUUGGCAUCCGGCUAAGCAACCAGAACGCAGCCGUUCUAGUCUGUGGGGCACCACGGGGUCCCAAGAAUUGCGAGUCAAAUUAGUACAAAACGAAAUUCCCAGCGCCACUAAUGACCUUGGGAGAAGGCUUCCCAACCACUCACGGUCGGCGUCGCGUUCGUGGGCGCGGGCGUGUCAGUGGGGGUGGCAGCGUCAGGCGUGGGGGUGGUGGAGUCAGGCGUGGGGGUGGCAGAGUCCGGCGUGGGGGUGGCGGCGGGGUUGGCGGCGGGGGUGGCGGCGGGGGCGGGCGCCGUGACUCCGCGUUGUUGCAUGAGCGCAAUGCUUGUGAGCACCGAGGUCAGGUCAACCUGAGGGGUAGGGGGAGUACAUUCAUGAUUAUCUUAGGGGAAAGGUAAUAAGGGGGUGAGAUGGAGUGGGCAGGCGGAUCGAUUGGGAAGGUUGGCCAUACAUUGGGCGCACGGAAACAAUCAACGCGUGCAGGGCGUGCGUGUGUUUUUGUGUGUGAGGAGCGUCUAGGCUCUGCCAGCGCGUCGUUUGGCGUGUAUUACUCGCGAAAGCGCGCCCCGCAGUUCAAAACAGCAGCAGUCGCCAACUCUUAACCACGUGAGCAUAAGUCAACUCACGCAAUUGAAAUCCACGAGACUACGAAACUAGAACAGAAACAUCAGAAACGUUAAACACUCACGGUGGUGCCGUUGCUGGAGAAGUCGGCAAGCGCUGCCGCGUCCAGAGGAGCUCCCGCGAAGGAGCUGUGAUGGGGGUCGGGAGGGUGGUAGGGGACGGAGUUAGGGGUGGGGAGUGCGGCUCGGGCUGGGGGCGGGGCAAGGGCUGGGGGCGGGGCAAGGGCUGGGGUCCCAAGGUUGCAACCAAGGAAUUACCCGGGCCUCAUCGCAUCCAUAAAGGAUCCGCCGCCCGCAUCGACUUCGCGGCCCAGCCUUGCACGAUCGCGACCGCCCCUUUCGACACGAACCCAACCCACCCCCAACCGCCAACCAACUAGCCAACUAACCAGCCACCGACCCACCAACCGACAAACCAACCAACCGACCUGUUCGCGGCCCAGCCCUGCACGAUGGCAACCGCCUCGUUGGACAGGAAGCGCCGUUGCUCCGCCGGCAGCGCCAGAACCGCCGCCGCGACGUCGCCCACCGUGGCGGGCUGUGGGGAGUUUGGGGAUUGGGAAGCGGUUUCAGGGAGGUUGCAAGGAUGUUUGGAAAAGCGGUACAGGAUGCAGGGGGGGAGUUAUAAUCAUGGUUGAUUAGGAAGCUAGAAGGCGUAGCUGGGCACAGUGGGGGGUUGCAGAUGCCAGCACAAACUGAAACGAACCCAAUGCAAAAGAAAAGAGCGAAGGGGGCGAUGUCGGUGAAGCAUGGGGGGGGGGGGGGGGCGGGGAGAAGGACAUUUCAUGGUCAUGUGCCCGAGCCCUAUGAAUUGGUCACCGUUGGGUGGGGAGAGCGUUGGGCCGGGCGCGCACUCACACGCUCCGUGUUCCUACAAACCAUGCCCCAGCGCACAGCACCUCGCACACACACACGCACGCACACGCACGCACGCAUACACGGACACUAACGCUUCGUUUCCCUUGUGCUCGUUAAUACACGCACACAACACCUCAAAAACACAUCUCACCUUGCCCGACACGGUCGCCGUGAUGGGGCCUGCAUGGGUUGAAGGGUUUGGAAAUGGAUCGGGUUGGAGGUCAGGUUGGCGGCGUGGGAAGGCGCGGUAAUCGGGUUGCGCAAACGAGGGGCACCGUCGGAGACGGCUGGUCUAACAGCGCCGAAACCGCUCGAAAUUGCAGCUAGCCGUGGGACAGAAACAGCCUGGCCCAAAGCAUCCAUCCUUUUAUUUAGAUUGUCGAGCACAAGUUGUCGCUUGAGGCCGUCGCGCCCUCACGAGCCCACACCACCCCCCACCCACCCCCCAGCGGAACUCGAAUCCGGGGGGUGGUGCAACUUGCCUCAACCCUGUCCCAUCACACACCCACCGUUGUUGCCCUGGGGAGCGGCGGUUGACACGACACGGAAUGCGCCCGGCGGCAGGGUGGUGGUGGCGUUGGCGGCGUCCGUGCCUGUGCACGUGUGCAAAUGUGGGUGCGUGAUGCAGAGCACAAAAUUAACAAGGAAACUGUGUGGGGGCGGGGGAGCAGGUGCGUGUGCGUAAUGCAUAGCGUAUACGUGGGUGUGGCGUUUAGGGUUGGCUGGGCAGUGGGUUGGGGAGAUGUGGCUGGCUGGCGGACCCCAGAAAUGCCAUGCCAUGUCAGCAUCUCCUCAACCAACAGAAAACACACGAAGCAAUCACAUUCCAAAUGGCCGCUGGGAGAGAAAGCACCCUCGCACAGAUGCGCCCGAUCGUACUCAAUCACCACGGCCUCUACCCCCGCGCCCGAAACAGCUAGUCCCCACAAACGCCGCAGCGGGUCCCGAACAAGCAAGCUAUCAACUCCAGACGCACCAUUGACGGAAUCAAUGGGUGUGAGAUCUCCUUCGUCGUAAUACUCCUCGUCGCUAAUCCCUGAGGCGUCAGUGGAGUUGGCACCGCCGUCGUCGACCCGGCUGUGUGUGUGGGGAGGGGCAGGAACAGCGUUGCUCAGGUUGUAUGGUCCCCCAAAGAACCAAGGGCCAAGCCAAGCAGCAGGGGAGGGAGCCAAGCAGAUAAGGGAUGGGUGGGGUCACAGGGGAGGGAGCCAAGCAGGUAAGGCCGCCAUUUCACAACAUAGCGUCAAGCGCGGUGCGCAGCGUCCACCACCCCCUGUGACCCCACUCACAACCACAACAACCAUGCGCCACUCCAAGCUCCCCCAUCCACACCUCAAAGCCCCCCACACCCCACACCCCCACACCCCCACAGCCCCUACACCCCAAAGCCGACCCCGCCCCAAACCCACCAUCCCCAUACACACACACACACGCUCUCACUCACCCGCUGCUGGCGGUGACGUUGGGCGCGGGGCGGCCGGCGGCACGUGCGGCGCCCUCCGCCAUCUUUGCGACCAGGCAGAAGGGCGUGGAGGUGCCUGUGCGUGUGCGUUUCGGGUUUGUUUCAGGUUCGUGAUUGUGCCUAAAAAACGCAGACCGUGAAAACGCAGACCGUGAUUGUGUGAUCGUGGGAUGGCCACAAUCAAAGUAACACUCUAAGCGAAUGCCGCCGACGCGCGGCGUCUCCCCCAUACAAGAAAUGCCGCAACCAGCACCGUCGCCGCACACACGGACCGUUGAAGCCUAACUGCCAUCCCAACCGCCACCUUGACCGCCACCCCCAACCGUCACACACUCCUCACCGUUGAAGCCGCAGCUGGACAACCGCUCCAGGUUCUGCAGCCGCACGCCUGCCGCCAGCAUGGGCACAACGAACUCCUGCUGCAGUUGGUUAAGGGGCGGUUGGACGUUGGUUGGUUGGUUGGUUUGGGUUCAGGAUCUGGGCGGACAAUAAGGUGUGCAAGCGGAGGAGCAGCAUCGCACCGCUGUGUGUUCUCCAGCUCCCAACCCCCAAUCUCACUCCAGGUACAACCCCCAUCUCACUCCAGGUACAAGGUAAAGGGAUGGCUCAGGCUUGGGCAUGUUUAAACCUCGGCCUUUCAUGGCCAACCCCCGCUUCCUGUAUCCCCCAACCCCAUGUAUUACCCCAUGUUGCAUUGGGUUUGGUUUAAUUUGGGCUGGUAUCUACAACCCCCGCCCUCCUCCGCGCCCUCCUCGCCGCCCGCCUCCCCGCCCUCCUCCCCGCCCUCCUCCCCGCCCUCCUCCCCGCCCUCCUCGCCGCCCCCCUCGCCGCCCGCCUCCCCGCCCUCCUCCCCGCCCUCCUCCCCGCCCUCCUCACCCCCAGCGUGCACGCGCUGAUAAUGGCGGCGGCGCGGUCCACGGGGAAGGCGGUUGUGGCGGUUGGCGCGCCGUCGGGGCCAACCGUCAGGUUGCUGAACAGCCCGCCCGCGAUGAAGGCGGGCUGGGAGCGUGUGUGUGUGUGUGGGGGGGGGGGGGCGUGUGGGGGCAGGAGGAGCGGAGUGAGGGCCAGUGGUGUGCGGGGCAGCGAGGUGGGGCGAAGGGAACUCGGCGGCCAGGGGGAAGAGGACCCGUGGAUGGAGGCAACUGGACUGCUGCACACACAUGUUUACGACACGACCACCUCUCUGCUAACGUGUGCACCCACCCCCACACAUCCCCACACAUACCCCCACAACCUCACCAUGUAGACGUCGGUGAGGGCGCAAAUGCACUCGUCACAAAAGGCCUUGGCACUGGGCUCUGUGUUAAUACGGUAAAGAGCACAAACGUAUAGUAUAAUAUCGCAAAGACUGUUUAAGCUAGGGUCUGUGUUUACAUGCGUGGGCGCUUGAGAGUUUGCAGCUGGAUGUAUGGGUGUAUGGUGGUGUAGGGUGGGUUGAGAGGAAGUGGGUGAGUUGUGGUGUGUGUGCUUUGUUGGGCCUGGAAUGUGAUGGUGGUUCAGUGCGAGGAAUGAGGCGGUUAUCGGCGGUUAGCAUGGGGAAAAGUGAGGUCCGCAAUAAUUGAAGUGUCAUCUCCCUAACCUCUCGUCCCCCAGCCCCAACCAGCCCCACAAACCCGACGCCCCGCCCUACACCAAUUCCCAGACCCCCCCCUCUCGUAACAGCUCCCCCACAAAAACACAACACCUGCCCUCGCCAAAGCACACCCUCAGCACGCAUCACGCAUCACUCACGGCAGGCGGUGGCGAUGGGGCGGAAGGUGGCGGCAGUCAGGUUCGUGAGCUUGGCAGGGCAGCUUCCCGCAGCUCCGGAAGCAGCCGAAGAGCCGGAGGCGGUAGUCGAAGAGUUGCUACUGCCGCCCAAGCCGAGCCGCUCACCAAGCAGGCCGCCGCCAAGCAGGCCACCGGCGCCAGUGCCGCCGAGCAGGCCCGCACCGAUGCCGCUGCUACUGCCGGUGGUGCUCGUGGCGUUGCGGUUGGCGGCGGUGGUGUUGCUACUGCCGCUGCCGCUGCCGCUGCUGCUACUGCCGCCGCGGAUGAGGCCGCCACUGCCAAGCAGCCCGCCGGUGCCCGCGCCGCCGAGCAGGCCUGCACCGAUGCCGCUGCUACUGCCGCUGCUGCCGCUGCCGCUGCCGCUGCUGCUACUGCCGGCGCCGGUCAGGCCGCCGAGCAGCGCCCCGGAACCGAUGCGGGGGGCGGUUCCAUUCCGGUCCACAACACGCUCGAUGUCAUUCAGCAGAGCACCCCCGCCAAGCAGGCCACCGCUGCCAAUGCCGCUGCUACUGCCGGCGGCACCGGUCGCGCUGCUACUGCCAGUGGCACUGCCGGUGCUACUGCCACCGCCGGCGCCGAAGCGUGAGGCGAAGCGGUCGAGCAGUGGCUGCUGGGCUGAGGCGGGCUGUGGCAAUGCCAGCACCAGCAGUAGCGCCAGCGCGCCGCCGGACAGAAGCUGGCUGCUGCUGCUACUGCCGGCAGCCAGCAGGCGGUGGCUGCUACUGCCGCGGGCGGCGCCACGACGACCACGUGUCAUGGGCAUCGUGUGUGUGCUUGUGUCGGUGUUGGUUCUGCAGGCGGGCGGGCAGGAGGGCGGGCGGGGAGGGGGGCUACAUUCAAGACAAGUUAAGGAAGUGGUAGACGGGGUAGAGGGGACGGGGACGGGCGACGGAGGCGUUGGGGAGAGGAGGAGGGGGGAGUCGGCAAGGCUGGCGGCAGCGGGUUUGCACGAAUGCAAGGGGGGCUCAGGAAGGCACCAGGCGCUCACAACCAGCCUACGCUGCCGAGCAGAUGUCGUUUUGCCCAGCCCUUUUGCGUAUGACCCUGGCCACAGAUUUCUUCGCGCAAUCGCCCCGUCCUGGCGAUGCAUAUGAACACACCUUCCCGGCCAAACCCCCGCCGCCCCUCCCAUAACUCACACAAACAGGUGCGGCGUCGGCGGGUUCACGAAAGGCCGGCUGCGGGCUAAGCCGGUCCAAGAACGGGGGUACCCGAAAAGCUGCUGGAGCGCUUGGUUACGAGCUCCGAGUCGCUGGCUGGCAAGAAGAUGGGAUGCUAGGGCUGCUGCUGCGGAAUCGCGGGUGGGGUGGGGUGAUCACGAGAAGGCAGGGAGGUGGAGGGGUUUGCGCGACACGGGGCCGCUGCUGCUGUCUGUCUGUGUGUGUCGGGAGCCGGGAGGGCCGGUGUGUGUUGACGACUGACUUAACUCCUGCAGCUGCGCUCGUGCUCAAGUAUGCAACGGAGACAAGAGCGCGAUGAACGAUGAAGCGUCGCCUGGUUUGAAAAUCGACAGUCGGCGGGCGCUGAGGCGCGGCGGCGGCGGCAACAGUAGCGGCCUGACAGCGGCUCCCCCUGUCGCCCCUCGGCGCCCCCGCCUGUCAUGAGCAGAGGAGCUGAGAGGCCGCCGGGGCUGGCGAAAGGCCGCGGCGCCCGUAGAUGACAGGUCGCCGAAAGGUGCGUGGUGACUUAUCCUCCUAGGACAGCAGCAGAGAGGAUCCUAGCUCAUGCCAUUGGGAAGGCUGUGUGGGGUAGAGAGACCGGUGGGAAGCUUGGGCAGGUCCAAGGAGAGGCCUCUUGUCAGACAGCCCGCAAUUAUUGGGCGAGCGAGCGCCGCUGUCCUCUACAUUUUGUUAUGUGCCAGAUGCAGCGCAACGACAUCGAGUGCAUGCAAUGCCGGGUCUGCGAGCAGCCUGCCGGGCUAAAUAUGGCUUACUGCACCACAUUUUCGUGAGGGGUAACGUGGUUGCUGAUGUCUGUGAAAACAUGAAAGGCAGAGAGAAUGCGCGAAAGCGAAACCGGAAGGCAGUAACAAGAGCAAAGCAGGACCAAUUAUCCUUAACGUAGCUGGCUAAUGUGUUGUAUGAUACUGUUGAAUGCAAGCGAUUAUGUGUAGACCCCUCCAUGCUCCAAGCUCACGUGACGCGCUCCGGCCAUCACCUGCCAUCAUUCCAGUGGCAGCCCGCUUAUGUGCCACCUCUAUCCACACAAGCGUCAUUUGCAAAUCUUCAGGAAGGAGGCAGACGAUGGAUACGUGGCUACGAGCCUGGGACUCAGCGGGUGACCUGUGUUGCCAGGGGCGGGCAUCGCGCCAGAAGUUGAAUGCCGUCUCGGCCGUGUCAUCCCAUCGGUUCCGGUUCCGGUUCUGAUGCUGUUACCUGUUCACUCGUGUUUCAUAGCGCUUGGUUGGAAUGAACGGCUUCUCCCGGGUAAACUCGGCGUGGACCCGUGUGGACCCGGGGAAACUGCCGGCACGCGUGUCAUCCGACAGCAUCGAGUCCCGGCACAUCCCCGAUGCUCCGCCUCAAAUGCGUUCGCUCGAUGAUAACAACCAGGUUGCAUACAUCACUUGCACGGUGGACCUGGCCCAGCCCGCCUGAGUUGUCGGUCAACUUGCAGCUCAACUCACGCAAAAACGUGUUUCGCCCGACGCAGCCAGUUCUCGCUUGUCGCAUGGCCAAUUAGCAGUGAUCUUUUAGUCCUGGGAUCCAUCGCCUUUUCGGCCAAGCAGCGGCUCUCGAGAUGGCCGGGCGCAGCCUCGCGCCCGUGCGGGUGCUGCUUGCAGCAAGGCAGCAUGCUACAUUCGGAGCUUUUGAGAUGCUUGAGAUGAAGCUCGUGCAGCCGACCGGGCUGUAUGAGCUGCUGCUCAUCGGCCAAAGCGACACGAACCAGCCUGCAACGGGCUAUUCGAACGUCGAGCUGCUUCCUCCGCUGGUGCGGGCUUCCAUUGCGGCACAGACACGAGGCUUUCACUCGUCGCGGGCGCUGGCGUCGCGCGCGUUCCAGCCCACCUCGCCAUGCCUCUUCCCGGCGAGCACCAAGUCGAAGGAUGCGGCUG